rnacentral:rRNA from 1 species
UACAGAGGGGGCAAGCGUUGUUCGGAAUUACUGGGCGUAAAGGGCGCGUAGGCGGCCUUCUAAGUCGAACGUGAAAUCCCCGGGCUCAACCCGGGAACUGCGUCCGAUACUGGAAGGCUUGAAUCCGGGAGAGGGAUGCGGAAUUCCCGGUGUAGCAGUGAAAUGCGUAGAUAUCGGGAGGAAUACCGAUGGCGAAGGCAGGUCUCUGGGCUAUAACUGACGCUCAUGCACGAAAGCGUGGGGAGCAAACAGG